rnacentral:misc_RNA from 1 species
GAUGAAGAACGCAGCGAAAUGCGAUAAGUAAUGUGAAUUGCAGAAUUCAGUGAAUCAUCGAAUCUUUGAACGCACCUUGCACCCUUUGGCAUUCCGAAGGGUAUGCUCGUUUGAGUGUCAUUGUACUCUCACACUUCCAAUUCUUUGGAUUGGGAGCGGUGGACUUGGGUGCUGCUGCUUACCGUGGCUCACCUCAAAUGUGUUAGUGCAACCGUUGGUUAGACAUAGUACAGCGUGAUAAGUAUCUUCGCUGGCGCCUCACUCGAGGGUGGCUGAUCAGGGCUCUGUGCUCCCAGUCGUCUUCGGACAAUCACUGACAACUUGGCCUCAAAUCGAGUAGGACUACCCGCUGAACUUAAGCAUAUCAAUAAGCGGAGGA